UACGGAGGGUGCGAGCGUUGUCCGGAAUCACUGGGCGUAAAGGGCGCGUAGGCGGCUCGGUAAGUAGGGGGUGAAAUCCUGCGGCUUAACCGCAGGGCUGCCUUCUAAACUGUCGAGCUCGAGCACGGUAGAGGCAGAUGGAAUCCCCGGUGUAGCGGUGGAAUGCGUAGAGAUCGGGAAGAACAUCAGUGGCGAAGGCGGUCUGCUGGGCCGUUGCUGACGCUGAGGCGCGACAGCGUGGGGAGCAAACAGG
rnacentral:rRNA from 1 species